UACGGAGGGUGCAAGCGUUGCUCGGAAUUAUUGGGCGUAAAGGGUAGGUAGGUGGUCUCAUUUGUCUGAGGUGAAAUCCUUGGGCUUAACUCAAGAAGUGCCUCAGAAACGGUGAGACUAGAGUUCUGGAGGGGGUCGUGGAAUUCCCGGUGUAGCGGUGAAAUGCGUAGAGAUCGGGAGGAACACCAGAGGCGAAGGCGGCGACCUGGACAGACACUGACACUCAACUACGAAAGCGUGGGGAGCAAACAGG
rnacentral:rRNA from 1 species